AUGACCACGCAGCUGCACUUAACCACUAAGCCAUAUAGCCUUCCUGUAAGAUUGAGUCCCCAUCAAAGGCCAGUCAGGACUGAUCCCACUAAGUUUCAGAGAUCAGAUCAAAUGAGGCACUCUAGGGAGCUUAAGAAGCCACAGUUCCUCUGGGUCAGCUUAAAGGAUCUUCUUAAUGUAAUGUCUUUGAAAGUGUCUGGAAUCUGUUAUCACCUGGUCCUGGCUGUCAGACUGAGAGACCAAGGCAAUGAGAAUGCCAAACCUGGAUGGGGACCCAUUUAG
rnacentral:lncRNA from 12 species